UGGGCACCGCCGGAGCGACCAAUCCUGGGGUGAGGACUGUGUGACAGAAGGAGCCCUCCACCACCUCUUGUGAUCUGUGUGAUCCUGGGCUGUGGUGGAGAGAGAGAGACCAGAGGCAUACAGCAGUGAGGGAAGGCAGGUCAGAAAUGUGUCUCCAUCCCAUGUUUAUGCCUUGGCACCACCCUCUCCCUCUUACUCAGUGUAAGGCAGUUGAGCGUCAUGCCCGACACAGCAACGCCAGUCAGAAAUCGGAAGACGCAAUAGGCGCUGAAAUUGGGAGAGAAGGCAGUGCAAGUGCCCGUCACAGCUGUCUGCAGAUUACGGGGAGAGCUUAACCGGGUUGGGGAAGAAUCAACGAGAAAGUGUCCUCCAAUUCUUCUAUUCCGUUCCCUACAUUCGUAUCCCCAGUGCCUAGCAUGGUGCUUGGCUCGUAGUAAAGGCGUAAUAAAUGUUUGUUGAAUACGUUGAAUAAAUGGAUUAUGAAAUCUCUAC